UGGGCAGCGGGAACCCAGGCUGAGUAUAAGGAUGAUUAGGCCUUGUCCUCCUCCCCCUCUCACACUCCCCUCCUCGCUCCCCCUCCGCCCGCGCUGCUUCCCCGGCCAGGCCUGGCCACCAUCUUGACUCAGACUCCCUCUCAGGACACAGAGGGAGAAACCCGGGGACAGCACGACCCCCCCUCCCACCCCUGCCUGGCUCCUGCCCCCCGGAGACAGGCCGCACCGAGCCAGAAACUUCCCCCCGGCCAGCGUGUCCGCCAUUUUACAACUUACCUCGGCUCCCUCACAGCGCGCCUCCCUGGGGGGAAGGCCUCGUCCCACAGCCCCGGCUGCUAAUCCCACAGUCCCGGCGAACUCCCUCCUCGGGAAGAGGGGAGACCGCGAGGCCUAGUCACUGCUCCGAGCCAAUAUGGCAAAUAAUAGGCAGCUUGGCGGCGGCUCAGGCUCGGCUUGAGUUGUUUGCUCUACGGCGACUCCGAUACGAAUGAGGCGCGCAGGCGCCACCUGGCGGUCACAAGGAUCUGGCCGGCUCUCGCUGGGGCACAGCGACACCUAGCGAGCGACGGCGAGACUGCCACCCCGCGCUUUAACUCUUCCCGUGACCAUAGCGGAGUACAUUGAAAGUGUUGUGUGUUAACUGGAGGGCCAGCAACACAGUGACUUGUUGGCAGCCAAGGGUUAUACGAUUUGUUAUUCACACAAGACAUGUUUAGAGAAGAACUGGAUACACUGAAAGAGCAACAUGUUCCUCUUACAAAAAUAAUAAUAAUAAUAAAAAUGGAGUGACAAUGUAUCAGAUAUGUGUGUCACAGAUAUUACUUUAUAGCCAUUAUUCAG